AACACUUGUCUGUUUGCUCAACUGGUGGACAAAGACAAAAUGAACACAGAUGCAAAGAUAAGUCUUCCACAACCCAAAACUCAUUACUCAGUGUAAGUUUUGAUACAUAUAAUAAGGAAUAUU